rnacentral:rRNA from 1 species
GUCUUUUUGAUAANUAANUUUAAAGUCUAGUCUGCCCAAUGNANNAUUANUUGAAUGGCCGCGGNNUAUUUUGACUGUGCAAAGGUAGCAUAAUAAUUAGUUUUUUAAUUGAAAGCUGGUAUGAAUGGCUGAACGAGAAAAUUACUGUCUCAAUUUNAAAUUUAUUAGAAUUUUAUUUUUAAGUUAAAAAGCUUAAAUUAAAUUAAAAGACGAGAAGACCCUAUAGAGUUUNAAUAAUUAUUUUANAUUNNUUNUANUUUUAGAAAUANGNNNUUUUUAUUNAUAUUAAUUAUUUUAUUGGGGUGAUAUAUAAAUUUAGUAAACUUUANUNAAAUNUUAAUACAUAUUUUUAUGAAUAAGUGAUCCAUUAAUAUAUGAUUAUAAGAUUUAAUUACCUUAGGGAUAACAGCGUAAUCUUUUUAAAGAGUUCUAAUCGAAAAAAAGGAUUGCGACCUCGAUGUUGGAUUAAAAUUAAUAUUUGGUGUAGAAGCUNAANAUAAUUAGGUCUGUUCGACCUUUAAAAUUUUACAUGAUCUGAGUUUAAAUCGGUGUGAGCCAGGUUGGUUUCUAUCUUUAAUAUNAUUAAAUUAUUUUAGUACGAAAGG